rnacentral:rRNA from 1 species
CCUACGGGUGGCAGCAGUGGGGAAUCUUCCGCAAUGGGCGCAAUCCUGACGGAGCAACGCCGCGUGAAUGAAGAAGGUCUUCGGAUCGUAAAGUUCUGUUCUUAGGGAAGAAGGCUGAGGUGGUGAAGAAUGACUGAAGGUGACGGGACAUAGGGAGAAAGCUCCGGCUAACUACGUGCCAGCAGCCGCGGUAAUACGUAGGGAGCGAGCGUUGUCCGGAAUUACUGGGCGGAAAGGGCGCGGAGGCGGGAACUUAAGUUAGCUGUGAAAACUCCGGGCUUAACCUGGAGACUGCAUUUCACACUGGGUUUCUUGAGGGCAGGAGAGGAAAGUGGAAUUCCUAGUGUAGCGGUGACAUGCGUAGAUAUUAGGAGGAACACCAGUGGCGAAGGCGACUUUCUGGACUGUACCUGACGCUGAGGCGCGAAAGCCUGGGGAGCGAACAGGAUUAGAUACCCGGGUAGUC